UUAACAAGCACACAUUCUCUGCUGCCAAUAGUACCAAUUUGUCAACCAAGCAACAAAUAUUCCUUGGUAAUCUGCUAUCAGAUAACAGUUUUCUCGUUGGCAUUUUUAUGAAUUAAAGCUUUCAAGGCUUAAUGUUUUGGUCAAGUUUCAGAUUUGUUUAGAAUAAUCCUGUACAAAUGUUUGGUGUGUCUAGUUCAUCUCUCUCACUAUGAAGAUGGCUACACACUAUCUGCAAUGCACCCCUAUGAUAUACAAGUCUUCAUUGCCAAGUCACUCUGCCAAACAGUGUGUACACCUUUCUUGCAAUGGUAGUACUUUACUGUACUUCAAUCACUUCAGGAGUCUGGAUAUGUCAGCCCAAGGCCAAGGAGAUCAAGUUUGUUUCCAAGGUUACUUAGGUAAUUCUCUAAGAACAAUAGGUUUUUUUUUUUAAAGACAGACACUACAUGUUGCUGAUCUGUGGGUUAGUGGCUCAAUCAUUGUGCACUGAUUCUCCACUGAUGCCUUGAUUGCCAUAAGUUUAUCUACUGACCUACAGAUCAAGGGACUAAAUGGUCAAUUAAACAUCAGGUCAAGGAAAAAGGAUGAACAUUUCAAGGCUGCAGGAGGAACAUUAAACAUCUCUCUCACUGUGAAAAGAUUCUAUCGAUCUACAAAUGGUCAACAUGUUUUAUCUAAAGUUCAUCUGCCAUUUCUUCAAAUGGAGCCAUAGUCAGAAUAAGGUUCAAAUGUAUCAGUUGUUUUUGUUGACAGAUAUCAAGUUUAGUUGCCUACCAGCAGUUUGGUGCUACAAGUCAACAACAGUCAGACUAAAUUAAAUAAAGCCAUGUCUAUUUCUACAUGAUUUUGUUGCUACUAACCUGGUGUUACUAACAACUAACUUGAAAAGGGAGAGGAGAAUUAUCAUAUUAUUCAUGCUCUAACUCUUCAAAUUCUAUAGAAUUGCAGAGAACUGACAUGAAAUAAAUCAUUAACAAAAUGUGUAUUAUAAUUGUCACUUUUCCUCUACUUAGCAUUUUUUUUCUCCUAGAUUUUCAUAAUUUUUUGUUGAAGUCAUUUCAGUUCUCAAUUAUUUUGUGCACCAGGUUACAAGAAAAAUUCAAGCAAGAGAGGUCACUACACUAAGACUUUGUCUUCUCAUAAGAAUGGAUGGCUGCCUGGUCAUGUGAUAUGUGCACUGGACUGUGUGGUCAUCUUGAUGCUCAUAUCUUGCCUGAUGACAUUUAUUCUGCUGGACAUUUGGUCAAGGAAGUAGAUUCUCUUCAGCUCUUGAACAUGUCAAACAUUUGACAAGAAUAUCAAGCAAGUGCAGUGUACAUACCAACAUGAUGAAAAGGUAGACAAAACAUGAAGAUGUAGACCAACAUGGUGAAGAUGUAGACCAGCCUGAAGAUGUAGACCAGCCUGAAGAUGUAGACCAACAUGAUGAAGAUGUAGACCAACAUGAUGAAGAUGUAGACCAACAUGAUGAAGAUGUAGACCAACAUGAUGAAGAUGUAGACCAACAUGAUGAAGAUGUAGACCAACAUGAAGAUGAAAUGUAAACCAAAAAAUGGGUCAAGAGAUGUAUGGAAUAAAAUGUGAACAUCUUGAGAGGGAAAACAAUUCCUAGAGGCAAAGACACAGACACACCGGAUAUAUUAGAGAUUUUCCUUUUCUACCAUCAUUUAGAGACUUCCUUGUGCUCUAAGGGAACCUGCCAUUAUCUUUUGAUUGCUAAUUGGCGUUGAUGUUUUUACAUUCCUACUGCGUCUGAAAGAAAUGAAUAUUUUCCUAAUGCUGCUUCAAAACCAGACCUUCUCAAGACAAUCUUAGUGACCAAGCUACACUACAGGACCCAGUAGGAAACAAUGAAGAAUCCUCCCAACCUCAAGUUGAGUACCCAUGCUCACCUACUAGAGUGGCGACACACACUUCUCCUACACCCACAGUUAUAUUUCCUGAACCCUGUAACCCAACCUCACAAGAUGGUUACAUUACUAGAAGUUGUCCUGAAGUUAGGAAAACUAACAGAUACAAUGAAUAGAACAAUCAGUUCUAAUACAGAUACAAGUACUCAAGUGAUAUACUUUGUAAGAACUAUUUAGGUGGAAUCACCAUAAUUGACUUGUAUAUUACUCUAUAUAUAGGUAUAUCUUGACAAUAAGUCCAGUCAUUGUUCAUUUUUAAAAAAAUAUUCGAUAUUCUUUCUUUAAUCUCCUUGUUGUUUCAGUUAAUUGUUUUUUUUUUAUCUUUUUUUUUUGGUUAUGGAAUAGGGGCUGUGUGGUAUAUUAUCAUUAUUAUUAUUGUAUUAAGCAAACUUGUAUAUGUAUAUUUAUUCAUGAAUACUAAUAAAGAACAUCACUUCCUAUGGAAAAUGUUGUAAACACUAUACAUCUUCUCUAUAGAGUCAAAACACCAAAGCCUUGCUACAUUAUGCUUUUAAUUCAAUUUAUUAUCUCCCCUGCUUUUGUGUGCUAUCGUAUUAAUGCUCAUUAGUGUCACAUCCCUGCACAAUUUGUUCUAUGCUUUUUAUAGUGUGAAUAGUAACCUGACAUUAUUUAGAUCAAUUAUAAUAUGUUAU